GAUGAACGCUGGCGGCGUGCCUAAUACAUGCAAGUCGAGCGAACAGAUGAGGAGCUUGCUCCUCUGACGUUAGCGGCGGACGGGUGAGUAACACGUGGAUAACCUACCUAUAAGACUGGGAUAACUUCGGGAAACCGGAGCUAAUACAGGAUAAUAUAUUGAACCGCAUGGUUCAAUAGUGAAAGAGGGUUUUGCUGUCACUUAUAGAUGGAUCCGCGCCGCAUUAGCUAGUUGGUAAGGUAACGGCUUACCAAGGCAACGAUGCGUAGCUGACCUGAGAGGGUGAUCGGCCACACUGGAACUGAGACACGGUCCAGACUCCUACGGGAGGCAGCAGUAGGGAAUCUUCCGCAAUGGGCGAAAGCCUGACGGAGCAACGCCGCGUGAGUGAUGAAGGUCUUCGGAUCGUAAAACUCUGUUAUUAGGGAAGAACAAAUGUGUAAGUAACUAUGCACGUCUUGACGGUACCUAAUCAGAAAGCCACGGCUAACUACGUG
rnacentral:rRNA from 1 species